rnacentral:rRNA from 1 species
GACGAACGCUGGCGGCGUGCUUAACACAUGCAAGUCGAACGGAAAGGCCCUUCUUUUUUUGGUUGCUCGAGUGGCGAACCGAUGAGUAACACGUGAGUAACCUACCCUUGACUUUUGUUUAACUUCAGGAAACUGGGGCUAAUACCGUAUAGGAUCUCCUGCUUCAUGGUGGUGGUUGGAAAGUUUCGGCGGUUGGGGAUGGGAUCGCGGCUUAUCAGCGUGUUGGUGGGGUAGUUGCUUACCAAGGCUUUGACGGGUAGCCGGCCUGAGAGGGUGACCGGCCACAGUGGGACUGAGAUACGGCCCAGACGCCUAGGGGAGGCAGCAGUGGGGAAUAGUGAAAAAUGGGCGGAAGGCGGAUGCAGCAACGCCGCGUGCGGGAUGAAGGCCUUCGGGUUGUAAACCGCGUUCGCCUGUGACGAAGCGGGAGUGACGGUAAUGGGUAAAGAAGCACCGGCUAACUACGUG